rnacentral:rRNA from 1 species
GCAGCAGUGGGGAAUAUUGCACAAUGGGGGAGACCCUGAUGCAGCCAUGCCGCGUGUGUGAAGAAGGCCUUCGGGUUGUAAAGCACUUUCAGCGAGGAGGAAAGGUUGGCGCCUAAUACGUGUCAACUGUGACGUUACUCGCAGAAGAAGCACCGGCUAACUCCGUGCCAGCAGCCGCGGUAAUACGGAGGGUGCAAGCGUUAAUCGGAAUUACUGGGCGUAAAGCGCACGCAGGCGGUUGGAUAAGUUAGAUGUGAAAGCCCCGGGCUCAACCUGGGAAUUGCAUUUAAAACUGUCCAGCUAGAGUCUUGUAGAGGGGGGUAGAAUUCCAGGUGUAGCGGUGAAAUGCGUAGAGAUCUGGAGGAAUACCCGUGGCGAAGGCGG